AGUGAACGCUGGCGGUAGGCCUAACACAUGCAAGUCGAACGGCAGCACAGUAAGAGCUUGCUCUUACGGGUGGCGAGUGGCGGACGGGUGAGGAAUACAUCGGAAUCUACUUUUUCGUGGGGGAUAACGUAGGGAAACUUACGCUAAUACCGCAUACGACCUACGGGUGAAAGCAGGGGAUCUUCGGACCUUGCGCGAUUGAAUGAGCCGAUGUCGGAUUAGCUAGUUGGCGGGGUAAAGGCCCACCAAGGCGACGAUCCGUAGCUGGUCUGAGAGGAUGAUCAGCCACACUGGAACUGAGACACGGUCCAGACUCCUACGGGAGGCAGCAGUGGGGAAUAUUGGACAAUGGGCGCAAGCCUGAUCCAGCCAUACCACGUGGGUGAAGAAGGCCUUCGGGUUGUAAAGCCCUUUUGUUGGGAAAGAAAAGUAGCAGGUUAAUACCCCGCUGUUCUGACGGUACCCAAAGAAUAAGCACCGGCUAACUUCGUG
rnacentral:rRNA from 1 species